UACGGAGGGUGCAAGCGUUGUCCGGAAUCACUGGGCGUAAAGGGCGCGUAGGCGGCUCAUGAAGGCUGUGGUGAAAGUCCGGGGCUCAACCUCGGAUCGGCCGUGGCGACUCGUGGGCUGGAGCACUGUAGAGGCGGGUGGAAUUCCGGGUGUAGCGGUGGAAUGCGUAGAGAUCCGGAAGAACACCGGUGGCGAAAGCGGCUCACUGGACCACAACUGACGCUGAUGCACGAAAGCUAGGGGGAGCAAACAGG
rnacentral:rRNA from 1 species